ACGCCUAACACAUGCAAGUCGAACGCAGUAGCAAUACUGAGUGGCAAACGGGUGAGUAUAAUGUGGGAAUCUGCCUUUUGGUUCGGAAUAACACGGGGAAACCUGUGCUAAUACCGGAUAAGUCCUUACGGAGAAAGCUUUAUGCACCAUUGGAUGAGCCCGCACUUGAUUAGUUAGUUGGUAGGGUAAUGGCCUACCAAGACUGUGAUCAAUAGCUGAUUUGAGAGGAUGGACAGCCACAUUGGGACUGAGACACGGUUCAUACCCC
rnacentral:rRNA from 1 species